AGGAUAUGUGUGAGAAGACUGAUUUAAUUAACAAACUCCAGAAGAACUUGGAAACCCUAAACCAACAAUAUUUAUCCCUACAGACCAAAAUGUUGAAAGAUCAGGAGGAAAGGGAAACAGACAAACAGAAUGAAAUGAA